UACGUAGGGGGCAAGCGUUGUCCGGAUUUAUUGGGCGUAAAGAGCGUGUAGGCGGCUAGAUAGGUCCGUUGUGAAAACUCGAGGCCCAACCUCGAGACGUCGAUGGAAACCAUCUGGCUAGAGUCCGGAAGAGGAGAGUGGAAUUCCUGGUGUAGCGGUGAAAUGCGCAGAUAUCAGGAAGAACACCCGUGGCGAAAGCGGCUCUCUGGUACGUGACUGACGCUGAGACGCGAAAGCGUGGGGAGCAAACAGG
rnacentral:rRNA from 1 species